UGGCUUGUUUAGCAGCCCAUAUACUAAAAUUGGAAUGAUACAGAGAAGAUUAGCAUGUCCUCUGUGCAAGGGUGACACACAAAUCCACAAAGUCCUAUCUCUGUCA
rnacentral:snRNA from 1 species